rnacentral:rRNA from 1 species
UAUGUGAUCGUCUCUCGCAUAUCAAUAAGCGGAGGAAAAGAAACUAACAAGGAUUCCCCUAGUAACGGCGAGUGAAGCGGGAAGAGCUCAAAUUUGAAAUCUUAAAGGGUUUCCCUUUACGAAUUGUAGUUUAAAGAAGUGUUUUCUGUUGAGGUUUUGGUAAAAGUUCUUUGGAAUAGGACAUCAUAGAGGGUGAGAAUCCCGUAUUUGACCUUUACUUUCAACUUUGUGAUACACUUUCAAAGAGUCGGAUUGUUUGGGAAUGCAGUCCAAAAUGGGUGGUAAAUUUCAUCUAAAGCUAAAUAUUGGCGAGAGACCGAUAGCGAACAAGUACCGUGAGGGAAAGAUGAAAAGAACUUUGAAAAGAGAGUUAAACAGUACGUGAAAUUGUCAAAAGGGAAGCGUUUGACACCAGUGUUGUUUUUCUGAAAAUCAAUUAAAGAACUGUUUAUGCUAAGUUGUUUAGACUUUAUCAGCUAACUGUUUAGUUUUGAGCUUUUCUUUAAUGCACUUUUCAGUUAACAAGUCAACAUCAAUUUCUUUUGCUGUAAAAAAGCUUGAGGAAGGUGGCUUGAGAUUCGUCUUAAGUGUUUAUAGCCUCUUGCCUAUGCAGUCGGAGAGAUUGAGGUCUGCAGCGUAGAUCCUUCGGGGCUAAAUGCAUUCGUGCUAAGUUAUAGCAUUUUAUAGACAACUUGUUGACUAUGAUUUGUCUUGUAGCUUACUCGCUUAUGUUAUUUUACCUACGCUUAGGAUGUUGAGUAGCGACAUACGCAC